GAUGAACGCUGGCGGCGUGCCUAAUACAUGCAAGUCGAGCGAACAGACGAGGAGCUUGCUCCUCUGACGUUAGCGGCGGACGGGUGAGUAACACGUGGAUAACCUACCUUUAAGACUGGGAUAACUUCGGGAAACCUGAUCUAAUACCGGACAAUAUAUUGAACCGCAUGGUUCAAUAGUGAACGACGGUUAUGCUGUCACUAAUAGAUGGAUCCGCGCCGCAUUAGCUAGUUGGUAAGGUAACGGCUUACCAAGGCGACGAUGCGUAGCCGACCUGAGAGGGUGAUCAGCCACACUGGAACUGAGACACGGUCCAGACUCCUACGGGAGGCAGCAGUAGGGAAUCUUCGGCAAUGGGCGCAAGCUUGACGGAGCAACGCCGCGUGAGUGAUGAAGGUCUUCGGAUCGUAAAGCUCUGUUAUUAGGAAAGAACAAAUGUGUGAGUAACUAUGCGCGUCUUGACGGUACCUGAACAGAAAGCCACGGCUAACUACGUG
rnacentral:rRNA from 1 species